CCCUGUACACACCGCCCGUCACACCAUGGGAGUUGGUUUUACCCGAAGCAGGUGCGCUAACCGCAAGGAGGCAGCCUACCACGGUAAGGUCAGCGACUGGGGUG
rnacentral:rRNA from 1 species